CCCAGACUUGAAGUUGGACCUUGCUUGUG
rnacentral:piRNA from 1 species